rnacentral:rRNA from 1 species
CAGCCGCGGUAAACCAGCUCUUCAAGUGGUCGGGAUAAUUAUUGGGCUUAAAGUGUCCGUAGCCGGUUUAGUAAGUUCCUGGUAAAACCGGGCAGCUUAACUGUCCGUAUGCUAGGAAUACUGCUAUGCUAGAGGGCGGGAGAGGUCUGAGGUACUACAGGGGUAGGGGUGAAAUCUUAUAAUCCUUGUAGGACCACCAGUGGCGAAAGCGUCAGACUGGAACGCGCCUGACGGUGAGGGACGAAAGCCAGGGGAGCGAACCGGAUUAGAUACCCGGGUAGUCCUGGCCGUAAACGAUGCAUACUAGGCAAUGGUGCGGCCAUGAGCCGCAUCAGUACCGUAGGGAAACCGUUAAGUGUGCCGCCUGGGAAGUACGGUCGCAAGGCUAAAACUUAAAGGAAUUGGCGGGGGAGCACCACAAGGGGUGAAGCCUGCGGUUCAAUUGGACUCAACGCCGGGAAACUUACCAGGGGAGACAGCAGAAUGACAGUCAGGUUGACGACCUUACUCGACGAGCUGAGAGGAGGUGCAUGGCCGUCGCCAGUUCGUGCUGUGAGGUAUCCUGUUAAGUCAGGCAACGAACGAGAUCCGCGCCUUUAUUUGCCAUCAAGAAGUCACGACUUCGUUGGGAACACUAAAGGGACCGCCGUCGAUAAGACGGAGGAAGGAGCGGGCAAAGGCAGGUCAGUAUGCCCCGAAACCCCUGGGCUACACGCGGGCAUGCGAAUGGUGCGAACAAUGGGCUGUAACUCCGAAAGGGAGAAACCAAUCCCGAAAUCGCAUCUCUGUGGGGAUCGUCGACUGUAACUCGU